rnacentral:rRNA from 1 species
GACGAACGCUGGCGGCGUGCUUAACACAUGCAAGUCGAACGGAAAGGCCCUGCUUUUGUGGGGUGCUCGAGUGGCGAACGGGUGAGUAACACGUGAGUAACCUGCCCUUGACUUUGGGAUAACUUCAGGAAACUGGGGCUAAUACCGGAUAGGAGCUCCUGCUGCAUGGUGGGGGUUGGAAAGUUUCGGCGGUUGGGGAUGGACUCGCGGCUUAUCAGCUUGUUGGUGGGGUAGUGGCUUACCAAGGCUUUGACGGGUAGCCGGCCUGAGAGGGUGACCGGCCACAUUGGGACUGAGAUACGGAGCAGACUCCAACGGGAGGCAGCAGUGGGGAGUAUUGCACAAUGGGCGGAAGCCUGAUGCAGCAACGCCGCGUGCGGGAUAACGGCCUUCGGGUUGUAAACCGCUUUCGCCUGUGACAAAGCGUGAGUGACGGUAAUGGGUAAAGAAGCACCGGCUAACUACGUG